CGCCUUCAGAGGGGACAACAGUUGGAAACGACUGCUAAUACCGCAUACGAUCUGACCUCGGCAUCGAGGAUAGAUGAAAGGUGGCCUCUAUUUAUAAGCUAUCACUGAAGGAGGGGAUUGCGUCUGAUUAGCUAGUUGGAGGGGUAACGGCCCACCAAGGCGAUGAUCAGUAGCCGGUCUGAGAGGAUGAACGGCCACAUUGGGACUGAGACACGGCCCAG
rnacentral:rRNA from 1 species